rnacentral:rRNA from 1 species
GAUGAACGCUGGCGGCGUGCCUAAUACAUGCAAGUCGAGCGAACGGACGAGAAGCUUGCUUCUCUGAUGUUAGCGGCGGACGGGUGAGUAACACGUGGAUAACCUACCUAUAAGACUGGGAUAACUUCGGGAAACCGGAGCUAAUACCGGAUAAUAUUUUGAACCGCAUGGUUCAAAAGUGAAAGACGGUCUUGCUGUCACUUAUAGAUGGAUCCGCGCUGCAUUAGCUAGUUGGUAAGGUAACGGCUUACCAAGGCAACGAUGCAUAGCCGACCUGAGAGGGUGAUCGGCCACAGUGGAACUGAGACGGGGUAGAGACCCACACGAGAGGCAGCAGUAGGGAAUCUUGCGAAAUGGGCGAAAGUCUGACGGAGAAACGCCGCGUGAGAGAUGAAGGUCUGCGGAUCGUAAAUCUCUGUUAUUAGGGAAGAAAAUAUGUGUAAGUAACUGUGCACAUCUUGAGGGUACAUAAUCAGAAAGCCACGGCUAACUACG